rnacentral:rRNA from 1 species
GACGAACGCUGGCGGCGUGCUUAACACAUGCAAGUCGAACGGAAAGGCCCUGCUUUUGUGGGUUGCUCGAGUGGCGAACGGGUGAGUAACACGUGAGUAACCUGCCCUUGACUUUGGGAUAACUUCAGGAAACUGGGGCUAAUACCGGAUAGGAGCUCCUGCUGCAUGGUGGGGGUUGGAAAGUUUCGGCGGUUGGGGAUGGACUCGCGGCUUAUCAGCUUGUUGGUGGGGUAGUGGCUUACCAAGGCUUUGACGGGUAGCCGGCCUGAGAGGGUGACCGGCCACAUUGGGACUGAGAUACGGCCCAGACUCCUACGGGAGGAAGCAGUGGGGAAUAGUGCACAAUGGGCGGAAGCCUGAUGCAGCAACGCCGCGUGCGGGAUGACGGCCGUCGGGUUGUAAACCGCUUUCGCCUGUGACGAAGCGUGAGUGACGGUAAUGGGUAAAGAAGCACCGGCUAACUACGUG